AUAAUGACUAAGAAGAGGAAAAAUCUUUUGAACGCAUCACAGAGAGCAUUGGGUUGGUGGAACAAUGCAUGUAAUAGAAAGAGGGUAGCCUCGGAGUUGGCAUGGUGAACUAGAGUAAGUGUGCCCGCUGAUCAGCGUUAACGAUAAUGAGUGAUUGCUACGGCAAUAAUCUAGGUGGUACCGCGGAAGUAUAGACCCUUUCGUCCUAUAG
rnacentral:ncRNA from 1 species